GGAUAGCCACCAAAACUUCUGUUUAAAGACCUCCAGGGAAGGUGAGGCAGGUGAAUCUGAGAGAGAGAAGAAGAAAGAAAGAAAGAAAGAAGAAAGAAAGAAAGAAAGAAAGAAAGAAAGAAAGAAAGAAAGAAAGAAAGAAAGGCAGAGACAGAGAUAGAGAGAAGCCCUCAAAAGGGACAAACAUGCCUAAUUUUUUUUAUAAAAUUCUGUCCAUUAAAAAAACCACACAAAUGGUAAGAGCACUCAGCACUAAAUCUCCUGGACCUCUAUGCCUGCAACUUGACAGAGGUUAACCAGUAUGAUGGGGCUACCUUGUGAAUGCCAAUUUUAUUCACAUCUGCUAAAAUGCAGAGCCCGGGGGGGGGGGAGUUAAUAGAUUUUUAAAAUUCCCAAUAGCUAAUGUGGGUGGGUAGAUAUAACAAAGCCAGCUCAGAUGCAUCUCAUCCCAUCAAGCAGCCUAUGAAUUGCCUUGGAGUGAGAUGGGCUGUUUUCUGAAGCACUGAAUUGGAGUCUGGAUAUAAAAGAUGAAGAGGGAUUUGUGUUGUGUACAUUGAGGCAAAGGCCAGCUGUGUCCCUGAGCUCUGCCCUUUCUGGUAGCAGAGAGAACUUUGCAGCUGGAAAGGCCAGCUAAGAUUAGCAGCACUGCCUGGGUGAAGAGACUUUGGUUCUACCCCUACGUCUUUUUCAAAGGAUGAGACUAGGCGGUUGUUGUGGCCUGCCCUCUUUUCCCCAAAAAUGGUUGUAUGCUGGUUUAGAUCUCGACUCUCAGCAAGCCUGGCCCAAGUGUAUGUUAGGUAAGCUGCUUUGUUAAAUAACAUUAUCUGAUUUUUAGUGGUGCGUCUGAUGGAAAACAACAUGGUAAUUUUGGGAUGCUGCUGAUUAGAUGAAAAUGAUAUUGCAUCAAAGUUGCUGCUGAUUUAUUAUGGAAAAACGGCAAGCGGAGCGCAAUUCUCCACUAGGAUGCUUAAUUAAAGCUCCCUCCAUAAAAAAACCCCUGUAUCCUCCAAGGCCCUGUAUCUUUGCCGGGUGUGAAAAGAACAAAGGGUGAUGGGUAUCUUCUUUGUCAAAGUGCCACGCGACAUGUUUAUUGCAGCCCAUUCUGAACCCCUCAGUGCAAAAGCAGCUGCCCCAUCACACACCCUCAGGGCUGUCCAGAGUGGACCAAGAGGACCUGGCAGCUGCGCUGAGGGCAUUUAGAGGGGGAUGAUGACGGGCUGCAUGCCUUUAUUGGUUCAAAUGAGGAGAUCCGGGAGGAGACUUGUCUGGGAAGAAUAGGAAGCUGAUGGGGGCCAGCAUUUUUGUCAAGGGUUGUUGAACCAUCACCUUGGGGUGUGUCACUCUCAUCACCCGCUCCCAAAGAAGCUGAGUCUCUUAGCAAUAAUUCAUCUGAAACAGAAAAACAGGAGAAUUUGAAAUGUCCCUGUGUGGCGAAGAAGGGGAUUCUGAGAAUCUGCAAGAAGGGCUCCUUAAAAGCUACCCUGGGCGAGCAGAGAAGUUGCCUCCAGCUUGCAGGACUUACUGAGAUGAUGGCAAGACUGGUGAUUUGGCACAGUGGCAUAGUUGGCUGUCCACUUGAAUAUUACCAUUGAAGACAACCUCCCAUUUUUAUACAAAAAGUGUGUGUGUGUAUGCUUAUAUUGUGCGCUACUCAAAUACAAUAGCUUGCUUGGACUGUGCUGCAGCUGCAACCCUGCCCUCCUUGGUGAGUACUUUGGAGAAGGCUUGCGUCUUCUGUAUCUGGGAUACCCCCUGUAGCUCCUGAGGGCAUUCCCUAGAUGGAAUGCAACAGAGACCACUAUCUCUACCACUCUGAAAUUUGGCAGGCUUCAUCCCCUAUAAUUGUUUGUGAUUUGCAUCCAACUCAGCCAGAAAAUGAAAAAGUUUUGGAUUUCCCCUUUGUUUUUAAAAAUAAAACUUUAUAAGGCACUCCACAUGAAAAUCUCUAGAUCUAUCUCCUUUCAGCCUUAAUCCACCCCAAAGGGGCUGAGAUACCUGCUGAUAUCAUCCACUUCUGUGAAAAAGAGGAAAAACCACGUUAUAGCUGUUUUUUAUUUCCUCAUUGUAGUGAAUGGGAGGGCGAGAGAUUCGUUUUUAACAGAUCUAAUUCAGUCCUGAAUAACGAGUCAAAUUGGAAUGACACAGAGCAGUCAUGAAACAGACUGGGCUGCUUUCCAAAGGUACAGGUACAAGUUGGAUCUUGUGGCUGAUGCACACACCUCUGCUGUGCACCUUGGGAUGCAUAUCUUAGCUACCAUCUGCAAGCUGAUAACUAGUUCUCAGUCAGUCUCCAACACUAUAUUCUCAAACAGCACAAUCCCGUACACAUUUAUGUAGAAAUCCAUCCUAUGUGGCCAACUCACAGGGAAAGCCUAAUUAAGAUAAUAACGGUUGCAAUCCUUUGGUCCCUGGGAGGAUGUCCCAGUGGCCAUAUCACAUACUGGAUCUCCCUCUCCAGUGUUGGAGAGAGAGCACUCUGGUGUUGCUACACAUUUGAAUCAAGUUAGGCACGGCUUGGACAAGGUAUAUAUGUACGAGGUAUGCUCUUCCUUUAAUGCUUCUAGUCAGGCUUCUAAGUACAAAUGCUGUUAUCUCUCCAUUAUAAAUUGCCUUUACAUUA